GAUGAACGCUGGCGGCGUGCCUAAUACAUGCAAGUCGAGCGAACAGACGAGGAGCUUGCUCCUUCGACGUUAGCGGCGGACGGGUGAGUAACACGUAGGUAACCUACCUAUAAGACUGGGAUAACUUCGGGAAACCGGAGCUAAUACCGGAUAAUAUUUCGAACCGCAUGGUUCGAUAGUGAAAGAUGGCUUUGCUAUCACUUAUAGAUGGACCUGCGCCGUAUUAGCCAGUUGGUAAGGUAACGGCUUACCAAGGCAACGAUACGUAGCCGACCUGAGAGGGUGAUCGGCCACACUGGAACUGAGGCACGGUCCAGACUCCUACGGGAGGCAGCAGUAGGGACUCUUCCGCAAUGGGCGAAAGCCUGACGGAGCAACGCCGCGUGAGUGAUGAAGGUCUUCGGAUCGUAAAACUCUGUUAUUAGGGAAGAACAAACGUGUAAGUAACUGUGCACGUCUUGACGGUACCUAAUCAGAAAGCCACGGCUAACUACGUG
rnacentral:rRNA from 1 species